AAGAGGCAAGAAUAUGAAAAGUUACUGGAAGAUGGGAAACUAAUGUUUCAUCAGGUGCCCCUGUUGGAGAUUGAUGGGCUGGAGCUGGUGCAAACUCCCGCCAUUGUGAGAUACGUGGCCAGGAAGGGAGGAUUAUAUGGGCACUCCAA